rnacentral:rRNA from 1 species
GACGAACGCUGGCGGCGUGCUUAACACAUGCAAGUCGAACGGAAAGGCCCCUUUGGGGGUACUCGAGUGGCGAACGGGUGAGUAACACGUGAGUAACCUGCCCUUGACUUCGGGAUAACUUCAGGAAACUGGGGCUAAUACCGGAUAGGAAUCCUUGCUGCAUGGUGGGGGUUGGAAAGCUUCGGCGGUUUUGGAUGGACUCGCGGCUUAUCAGCUUGUUGGUGGGGUAGUGGCUUACCAAGGCUUUGACGGGUAGCCGGCCUGAGAGGGCGACCGGCCACAUUGGGACUGAGAUACGGCCCAGACUCCUACGGGAGGCAGCAGUGGGGAAUAUUGCACAAUGGGCGGAAGCCUGAUGCAGCAACGCCGCGUGCGGGAUGACGGCCUUCGGGUUGUAAACCGCUUUCAGCAGGGGCGAAGCUUGUGGUGACGGUACCUGCAGAAGAAGCACCGGUUAACUACGUG